UUUAUGUUCAAUAAUCCCCGAAACCAAUCGAUCUAGCCAUGAGCAGGUUGAAGAGAGCUCUAGUAGGCCUUGAAGGAUCGAACCCACGUAUGUGGCAAAAUACGGGGAUGACUUGUGGCUAGGGGUGAAAGGCCAACCAAGAUCGGAUAUAGCUGGUUUUUCGCGAAAUCUAUUUCAGUAGAGCGUAUGAUGUCGAUGGCUUGAGGUAGAGCACUCAAUGGGCUAGGGUGGCCUCAUUUCGCCUUACCAACCCCAGGGAAACUCCGAAUAUAGUCUUAGAUCGUUUGUACAGACAGACUUUUGGGGUGCUAAGAUCCAAAGUCGAGAUAGGAAUUUACCUUUCAAGACAGGAAUUAUUUUUCAUCUUAUCGGAAAAGACCCUGUAUAAAUCGAUGUCUUAAUCUGACUUCCUGAGCUCAGUUGAUUGUUGAAGCAGUAGCUCUGGAUUGAGAGCUGGAUGUUUACCUUAUUAUUAUUAAAUGGGGAAAGGCAUAGGCGUAGGCUAAAAGAAAGCAU
rnacentral:ncRNA from 1 species